UUAUGUUGUGACCUCUGAGCUCCAGAUUGGGACAGAGGGAAUCAGCAUAAUUUCUUGUGAUGCAUUUACUUGAUUGGUGCUUGGGGAUGUUUGAGGCAGAUUUGUUUCCGUCGUUUUGAGGCCAGCUUGCUGGUACCCAAACGGUGUUAGCAUUUUUUGUCUUGGGCAUUUGAGUAUGGCUUACGGGUAUUUAUUGGACAGAUCUGAGUGUAAGUUACGGUCGCAUGCGACACGUGCUUUUCAAUUAGUUCGGUCCAGUUAAUGCUCUCGUACUCGUUCCCCAUGUAAAAGCCGGUCAUCUAUCCGACCCGUCUUGAAACACGGACCAAGGAGUUUAUCGUGUGCGCAAGUUUUUGGGUGUUAAAAACUUAAAAGCGAAAUGAAAGUAAAUGGCUCUUUAGAGUCUGAUGUGCGAUCUUGUAAAAAAGUGUAGCAUGGCCCCAUUCUAACUGUUUACAGUAGGGUGGAGGAAGAGCGUACGCGGUGAGACCCGAAAGAUGGUGAACUAUUCCUGAGCAGGACGAAGCCAGAGGAAACUCUGGUGGAAGUCCGAAGCGGUUCUGACGUGCAAAUCGAUCGUCUGACUUGGGUAUAGGGGCGAAAGACUAAUCGAACCAUCUAGUAGCUGGUUCCUUCCGAGGAA
rnacentral:rRNA from 1 species